UACGUAGGGGGCAAGCGUUGUCCGGAUUUAUUGGGCGUAAAGAGCGUGUAGGCGGCCAAGCAGGUCCGCUGUGAAAACUCGAGGCUCAACCUCGAGACGUCGGUGGAAACCGUUUGGCUAGAGUCCGGAAGAGGAGAGUGGAAUUCCCGGUGUAGCGGUGAAAUGCGCAGAUAUCGGGAAGAACACCCGUGGCGAAGGCGGCUCUCUGGGAUGGUACUGACGCUGAGACGCGAAAGCGUGGGGAGCGAACAGG
rnacentral:rRNA from 1 species